rnacentral:rRNA from 1 species
UACGGGGGGGGCAAGCGUUGUUCGGAAUUACUGGGCGUAAAGGGUUUGUAGGUGGCUUGCUAAGUCAGACGUGAAAUCCCUCAGCUUAACUGGGGAACUGCGUCUGAGACUGGCAAGCUCGAGUGCAGGAGAGGAACGCGGAAUUCCAGGUGUAGCGGUGAAAUGCGUAGAUAUCUGGAGGAACACCGGUGGCGAAGGCGGCAUCCUGGACCAAUUCUGACGCUGAGGAGCGAAAGCCAGGGGAGCAAACGGG